UACUUCUGCAAAUAUUAAAGAUUAAUCCAGCACUCGUGAUCGGAGUGCAAGCCUUUAGCUGACCCACAAAGCCCAAAGGAUUAGUUGGGUUUUUGAAACAGAUGCUGAUAUAAUUACACAGGAAGAAACAUGACUUGCCAGUUUGAAAAGACACCUUCAGCAUUACAAUACCAGCAAGGUACCUCCAGCUUUGUGACGGUUUGACAUGGGAGGACUCCUAUAAACAGAAUUGCAACAGUUGAAAAACCAGGCUAGAGCACUGGCAAAAAAGAGGACCUUUAGACUUCAAGAGGAGUGUGCGUACCUCUGAUGGUGUCUUUAAUAGUUGAUUGACCCCAAGUUACAGCAGUAUGAAAUAGAAAGAAAAA
rnacentral:lncRNA from 1 species